rnacentral:sRNA from 1 species
AUAAGUAAAACCGAUGCCCUUCCGCCCCUAACCUCAAAAGCUGCUUUUGCGUCUAGAUGUUAUUGAGAGCCGGCUCUGCGGUCAGCUCUGAGCUAGGCGCUGUGAGAACGCUCAGUAAGACAGUGUCUCGUCUGGAAAUGUACAGGCGAGAUUCAAACCGAGAAACUGCCAAAGGUUGUGUGCAGGGCAGAUCCUAGGAUACCGGAGACCCAGCCCGUUGGCUUGACCUCAAAACUCGGGGGCUUUUCGGCCCAUGCUGUCCCUUAAUUCCUCCUCCUUUGCUGACGCUGUGGGUGCGCAUCAAAGCCUAAACUUCACUAGCUCCCUUGCACACAAGAACACUAACCCUAACCUGACCAGUUAUUUAUUUUUCACUUCAAGAUUCUUCCACUGAUACUUAUGUUUCCCUGAUACCGUCCAAGUGCUGAGGGCGGGGAUGGACUGUGUGAUUUGCAUCUACCAAAUGCAGAAAAUUUGGAAGUUCACAGCCUCUUAGUUGGAUGCCCCUGUGUCACAGAACACAUUUUGGCUAUGGGGUGUGAUCUGUGUCUGAGGAACAACAAGAAGCUACACGUCAUCCACACAGGAGCCAAAUCUGGAACUCUGGUCUCAGUUCUUCAGGACUAUUUGAGCGAAUAAUCACUCAACACUGGAGUAAAGGAUGUCCUGCUAGAAGUCUUAUUCUGACUCCUAAAACCACGCUACCGAAAGUGCUGAUCCACAAACCAGUGCCAGUGCUUGAACUUUGUUACUGGUCCACAGUUAGGUCCCCUCAGUGAUUCCUGUGUGCACCCAGGGUUGAGAACUACUGCAUAAGAGGUCCUAGAAGAUAUCUGGUAUGGCCAGAGUACAGAGGGACCGGAGAAGAACUUCUGCUUGGGUGGCUGAACUCUGAUCUUGACCUA